ACCACUACUGUAGAUGGUGUUGGGGCGUGAGGUUGUGGCGCGCCUUAGACCGUGAGGGCGGUGGUGGAGAGGUGGGCGUGGCAGGUGGUGGCUGUAGAUGAGGGCCACCCUUCCCUCUCCUCCACGGCCACCCUCACCAUCACUAUCGUCGACGUUAAUGACUGUCCCCCACGGCUCCUCCCUCCCACCCUCCUCCACGUGACUGAGGGAACACCUGCCUCCCUCUUAGGUCUCCUCACAGCUACUGACGACGACGUGUGGGCCCUGGGACAUGGUCCGCCCUUCAUCUCUUCCCUGGCGCCCUCCAACCCCGCCCACGUUCUCAACACCCUCAGCGUUAAUUACCUACCAAGUAUGGAUAGCAGGCGUGGCGGAGCAGAGAUGUGGACUUUGGGGCCAUUGGACAGGGAGAAACACCGUCAACUAGUGGCCGAGGUGGUGGUGGAAGAUGCUGGAGGUCUGGCCGCCACCCACCCGGUCACUAUUAUCAUCGAUGACGUUAAUGACAACCCCAUGAAGCCCGCUGCUAAGACCGUCUACCUGUGGAAGACUCAGGGUGGCGGGGCUGACGCUGCCCUUGGUAGGGUGUACGUGGAAGACCCAGAUGAUUGGGACCUUCAAGACAAAACCUUCUCGUGGUUAGGUCCUCCUCAACCUCUCUUCACCCUCCAGACCAACACAGGGGACAUCUUCGCCUCCACGCAGCUCAGAGAAGGAAGGUAUGAGCUGCACUUCACUGUAUCAGAUAGAGUGUGGGACCAGAAGAACGUGCCAGCCAACGUGACGGUGGUGGUGAAGUACCUGUCGCCUGAGGCCUUGACACACGCCGUUCCUGUAACUCUCACGCCCACCACACCUGCAGCUCUCACCACUGGCUGGACACCCAUGCAUGGUGGCGGUGGUCUGGGGACACUGACAGACGUUGUAGUACAGGUGGUGGGGAAGGAAGCUGAGGCGGCGGAGAUCGUUAGUGUCUACGGCCUCCCCGCCCAAGACACCUCCACCGCCCCUACCUUCCCGAAGCUUUCCUCAUCUAACACCAACCACGUCGUCCGCCAUUCACCCGCCACAGCGCCCCUCGCCUGUGUGUGGGUGAGCGUCAAACAAGUGGGUGGCGGUUUCAUGGAUCCACUCAAGCUCCACGGGUUGCUGGCACUACACCUGCAGCACUUAGAGAAGGUGAUGAACCUGAGGGUGGCACUGGAAGGAACACACACUAUGGCGGGGAACAAUGGGGAGACUUCAUCUGUUUCCUCUGGCUCCUCCUCCUCAGAUGCGAUGUCCCCUCACAACCCUUCUUCGUCUGUUGCCUCCCUCGCGUCAAUGGUCCUCCCCCUUCAGGUUGUAGAUACGAAUGCUACCUCCCUGGUCACUCCCCGACUGACACGAGCCCACGACUGUCACACUCACACUCUGUAUGAUGAGGACACUUGUACACCUUCCUCAUGUCUGAAUGGUGGACGAUGCGUGAGGACUCAGCUAGGAAACAGGUGUGUGUGUCCAGGAGGGUCGGGGGGGCCUCGCUGUAAGGUACUGGCUCGCACCUUCUCAGGGUCCGGCUGGGCGUGGGUACGACCACUACCUCCGUGUCUCCCCACAACACUCUCCCUACGUCUCCUCACUCACAGCCCUGACGCACUCAUUCUCUACUCUGGACCUCUUUCAUCGUCAUCCACCCACGCCCACUACCCACCCACGCCCAUGAUGGCGCUACAGAUGGUGGGCGGACAGCCACAGGUGGUGCUGGAAGGUGCGAGAGGACCAGUGAAGCUACAGGUGAACACCACACUGAACACUGGCACCUGGCACACCCUACACCUGCAUCUCAACGCUCAGGGAGUCAUGUUGAUGGCGGACCUGUGUGGCAAAGGCUGGACAACCAACACAACCAAUGACCUUCACUGCAUCGCGAGGUCAUCCUGGAGAGACUCGCGGGUCACGGAGAGUUGGAGCAGCAGUGUUCCUCUACAGAUUGGUGGUCUUGCUCACCCUUACCCUGAUCCUGUUGAGUUUGGCUGGUCAACUGACUUUGUGCAACAGGCCUUAAAUGGUUGUAUCUCCCACCUCACUAUCAAUGGCCAGCUGGUUGACCUGGGCGAGCCAUCAUACAGCAGCAAAAGUGUGAGGGGCUGUAGAGCUCAAGAGACUGCGUGUAGUGACGGCGUGGCUACCUGUGGCCGAAGAGGACAUUGUGUUGAUGGCUUUGAGAAGCCUAGGUGUGACUGUGAGCCAGGCUGGACGGGGCCUGGGUGUAGCACACCAACAGUGCCAGUUACCCUCGGCCAGGCCUCAUUCGCCAAAGUAGCUCUGUCAUUCACACCAGACCCGUAUGACAUGACCUUACAGCUGCGGGUCAGAACAAGAGGUCAUCCUUAUGGCCUCCUGAUGCAGCUGUCUACCACCAAACAUUCUCGAGCUCUGAAACUACACCUGCGCGGUGGUGUGGCGUGUGUGUCAGUGUCUGGGGUAGAAUGGUCCCUGGAGGAGGUGUGUGUGGAGGGCUUCCCGCUGGGCGAUGGCUCCUGGCACACCAUACGAGUAGGUCGUCACGGACUUAACCUCAUCAUCUCGGUGGACGACGGGGAUGGCUGGCGACAGAACCAGACGCUGGCUUCCUUCCUCACCACCACCAGCCUGGGAGACAUGCAGGCUCUUGUAGCAGUGCCUCCUACACCCAUCACUGUCGACAAGCAGGAUGGUAUGACUGUGGGUGGCAUCCCAGAGUUUGAGAGCCUCAGACUCGUGACAGUUCAUGAUGACCUCCAGAACAGUUGUAUAGACGAUGUACGUGUGUCAGGUCACCCCCUCCCUCUACCACCUACUAUGAAUGGGACCAACUGGGGGGAGGUGACCACCCUACAACACCUCGACCAAGGGUGUUCUGCCCCGGACUCUUGUGCUAACACCACCUGUCUCCCUCCCCUCACUUGUCAUGACGUGUGGAGACAAGCAACGUGCAGCUGUGAGCCAGGUCAGCAGGUGAUAGGUCACAGGUGCCAGGACGUGGACGAGUGUGUGCUUCAACCUUGUUUACAUGGAGGCACCUGUUACAACCUGAGACCCGGCUACCACUGUGUGUGUGGUCCAGCUCACACGGGAAACAACUGUCAGUGGACCAAGCUGCCCCCUCACCCUCACCCUCUCGCAGUACCCAUGGCCAUAGCAGCUCUCACACUCUCUGUUCUGAUAAUUGUAGUGAUCGGUGUCCUGCUCACUAUCCGUCACCACCGGUCUCGUGCAGCGCGAAGCGUGGCGCUGUGUGCAGGAAGCGUGGAGGGGGUGACACAUGUACUAGGGACUCCUAUGGAGGUACAGGCAGUGACAGGCAACCCUCAAAUUCAAGCAUUGAAAGAAGAGAGCAUCUUGCUUGGCUCCCUCAAGAUGAAGAUGGGUCAACAGAUUCUUCUAUCCCCUGAGGGUACAGAGCACCUAGUCACGCCCUUGGGACCGUCAUCCAUCGGUCUAGUGGUGCCGGGGAGCAUCAUGAAAGCCCCAUGUAAUGAAAAUGUUAAAAACAAAGUUGACCCUGGGAGAUGUAUCAUAGCAGCAGUUACUAAUCCUGCAGAAGGCGUGAUCCUAGAGCACAGAGAAACCCUCCCGCAGGUAGUGUGCCCUGCCACCACAUGUAUCACGAGGGUGUGUGCGCCUGCGGUGUGUGCAACAACAACACGUCCUACAGCGACGACUGGAGCACCACAGGUCAUUCUUGGUGCUGGUGUGACCUCUGCCCAGCCUCUACUAGCCCAGGAUGAUCUACGAGCUUAUGCUUACGAAGGAGAUGGUUCACCCUCGGGGUCACUUACUUCACCUGUUGUAGUUAGCGAACACGUCUUGGUGGAUGCCGCACCUACCACCAGCUCCUGACCACAGCACCCACACACUGACUAGAAAUGACCAUCACGCCAACAUGAUGCCUUAAUGGUGGCCGCUGAGUGAGAGCAUCCCGCCAUAAACAGCUGUGUGUGAGGUAGUCAGUCGUUCACACACCGUCAGGACUCAGCUGCUGUGUCCACUCUUCUCACCAGACUGUCUUCAUACCUCCUCACUCAAAGCAUAGAUGCAAUAAACCUCUUAUGAGAACCUGUCAUCUUCAUUCAACCACGCCCACUACCCGUCCACCCCCAUGAUGGCGCUACAAAUGGUGGGCGGACAGCCACAGGUGGUGCUGGAAGGUGCGAGAGGACCAGUGAAGCUACAGGUGCAUACCACACUGAACACUGGCACCUGGCACACCCUACACCUGCAUCUCAACGCUCAGUGAGUGGCGCUAUUUGUGGACCUUCAGUGGACGUGGUUGGGAAGGUAAAUGAAAGCGACAGAGUUGAGGACGCUUAUCAACUCCAUUCUCACUGUACAGAGCACAGUCGCACCUCAGUAACCUGCCUCAUCUGCCUCACUCAGUAGACAGAAUAACGAGUGCUGGUGAUAAUCAACCAGAAACAAUACCCAACUUUAUGCUAAGAGAGUUUAUGUGAUAAAUACUGACCAACUGAGUAUCAACAGGGUAGUGAGAAUGUUGAAGGACAUGAACCAGGGAAAUCAUAGAGGAAAACGUCUGUGUCUACCAUUCUGACACUGACAAGUUCCCUGGUUAAUAAUGAAGAGGGAGGCAAAUGGCUGUCCAGAAGAAGGCGAGAUAAGAAACAAAAGAAUACGUCAGAAAAUGUGAGAGAGAAAACACCAUAUUAAAUUAUGGAUUAGAGCAACGCGGAUGAAACACUACAGAUCUUAACUCUAUUGAAAAUGUUGCUUUUAACAGUGAAAGAAGCCAGGAUUGUCACUAACGAAAAUACACACAAGGAAUAGAUGUAUCCUAAAUUGGAGGCUGGCAGUGAGCUCAAGACUCUAUGAGUACUGUAUACGAUUACAUCACUGAGUAAGCGGAGUGAUGUGUUCUACAUGGUUGAGUGUAACAAAGAAUGAUGUGCUCGUUCAGGUAGUGUAUUUAUCAAGAUUUUUAAAACCCAGAGUUUGGAGGAUGAUGAUGGAGGCUUCUUACCAUCUGGGAUUUAUGAGGUAAAUUGACAAGAAAGUAAAAUGUGUUUCUGUACAGUGGAAACCGAAAGGAAAUUCUUACCUUCUAAACUAGACAACAGACGACACUGCUUUGCUUCUUUACUGCCAGACAGAGAAACAUCUUACCUGUCGAGAAAACUGUGUGUCAGAAUAAUGGUGAUGAACUAUUAAUAUUUUCCUUUGCAAGAGUUGUUACCAUACAAGAGUGACUCGACAAAUUCACCAAUGUUUACACGUUGCCACCUCUGUGCUUAACCCUGAUAUUGUUAUUACGUUAGUGGGUACAGACGCGUUCUUGUCACUUUCUUUUUUAUGGAAUCAAAAAUAUAGUAUCUGCUUUGACACCAAUUCUGUGAUCAUUUUUAUUAGCUGAGGAAAAUUAACACACCUUAACACACUCACAAGUAAAAACUGACAUCUUUGAGGGUAUUGAUAUCUUAAACUUCCAAUCAGGUGAAAGUUGGUCCCAUAAGCAUGACUGCCCAUUAGAGACAGUGUGGAUAUAACACACUGCACACUAAGCCUUCGGUACACAAGGAGGCAGCGUGACCUGUACUGCUCUCAACUGUCCUGACUUCCCUAAAUUGUAAACUUAGGUACCCAUUUACAGCAGGGUGAACUGGGAGCCACAUCUGAUAUUUGCAACUGAGCAGGCUUUAGUGUUCCCCCACUGGCACUGAUCUUGUUACCAAGGUAACAGAAUUUAUCAUAGCCGUCCAUGAGUUUCUUUCUCCAGUAGUCUGUCAUUUACUCCACCACACCUGUUGUGUACCUACCUUCCACACUCAUUGCACAUUAAUGAGAUGCUGCCAACAACUUUUUGGCCGACAGCACACGGCGAUUUUCCAUUUUCCACUGCUGGCCCUUCACGGACACCUCUAAUCAAUAAUUUUGUUUUCGCCACAUUUACACUCACGCUCUUUACCUCAAUUUCACCAUUCCAUUUCUUUUUUCACUUCCUCUUCAAUACUAUCUAUCAGCACUAAGAUAUCAGCUACCAACAGCUCCUAGGGCAGGUCAGCCCUAAAUUCUCGUGAUAGACAAUGAUAGACAGAAGGGCCUCAAGACAGACUUUUUACUUUCACCUCAGAUUUCUCACUUUCCUCACCAUUUACUCUCACAGAGGUUAUUGAGCUCUCAUAUAAUGUCAUAACCACUUGAACAAUAUAAUCCUCAACUCCUAGCUCUCACGAGGUACCCUGUGAAAUUCCUUCUCAAAGUCUACAGUUAUAUAAUACAAUUUUCUCUCUCCUUAAAUAUUGCAUUUCGUUUAUGUCUCGUGUACUCUCACACUUAUCCAUAUCUCAGCCACUCUUAGACCUUUCAUGCUUUGACCUAGAAGCUUCAGACUACUGUAUCUCCCGCAUUCAAUUGGAUUCUUUUUCAUUUUGUCACUUGCUUUCUUCUCCUGUUCUCUUUCAAUCCUUGGACAUGGUCAGCCUACUAAUUAGGUAAAAGUAAGGUUAGGUUAAGGUUAGUCAGGUUAAGGUCAAGGUUAAAUUAGGUUGGGUUAAUACUGGCAGGGAAGACCAUUAAAUUUGUGAUACUUGCGGGCUGGCCGUCAUAGUGAGGAGGCAUGGGGAAGGAAGAGAAGGAUGUGGAAGGAAGGGAAGGAUGAGUAGGGAAGGGAAUGAUGAGGAAGGAUGAGGAGCACGAGGAAGGGAUGAGUCUGCAGAAGGAAGGGAGGGUGGGAAAAGGAGCAUGAUAAAGAGGGAAGGAAGGGAAGAAGAACAUGAAGAGAGUGAGGGAAGGAAGAGGAGCAUGUGGAAGGAUUGGAACUGAUGAUGACCCUUUCCCACACGUUCCUUUCCUCCCUCUGUUGUGGGUGUAAUUUUAGGCUUGUUUUUGAUGUUCUUGUAAUAUUCUUCAGGUUUAUACACAGGGUCUCCUGAGGACGGCAGCCUCAAGCCUCUCGUGCCUGCGUACAGCGAGGUGUUGGACCUUCUCAACCACCUCCCCGAUGCUGUCAAGUCUUCA